UGGGGAAUUUUGGACAAUGGGCGAAAGCCUGAUCCAGCAAUGCCGCGUGUGUGAAGAAGGCCUUCGGGUUGUAAAGCACUUUUGUCCGGAAAGAAAUCCUUGGCUCUAAUACAGUCGGGGGAUGACGGUACCGGAAGAAUAAGCACCGGCUAACUACGUGCCAGCAGCCGCGGUAAUACGUAGGGUGCAAGCGUUAAUCGGAAUUACUGGGCGUAAAGCGUGCGCAGGCGGUUUGCUAAGACCGAUGUGAAAUCCCCGGGCUCAACCUGGGAACUGCAUUGGUGACUGGCAGGCUAGAGUAUGGCAGAGGGGGGUAGAAUUCCACGUGUAGCAGUGAAAUGCGUAGAGAUGUGGAGGAAUACCGAUGGCGAAGGCAGCCCCCUGGGCCAAUACUGACGCUCAUGCACGAAAGCGUGGGGAGCAAACAGGAUUAGAUACCCUGGUAGUCCAGCGCCCUAAACGAUGUCAACUAGUUGUUGGGGAUUCAUUUCCUUAGUAACGUAGCUAACGCGUGAAGUUGACCGCCUGGGGAGUACGGUCGCAAGAUUAAAACUCAAAGGAAUUGACGGGGUCAUAGCUGUUUCC
rnacentral:rRNA from 1 species